UGGGAUGUGGCUCAGAGGUAGAGCGCUCGCCUUGGAUGUGUGAAGCACUGGGUUUGAUCCCCAGCAUCACAU
rnacentral:tRNA from 1 species